AUGGCCCUGCAAGAGAGGCACAAAUCGUUGCGGUAAGACACCGUCCGGUCAGGGAGGGAGUCCCCGGGGGCUGCGUAUGUGCUGCCUGCGAGAGCCCCUGCCCGAGGCCGAGCUUGUGGCCGGUUCUGGGCUCUCCCCACUGCGCUGGGGACGUGCUCCAGAACAUGGAGUCGUGGGGACUGUGACCCUGGUGGUGGCACAGGGCUGUCCGCGAGCGCGGGGACGGGCACGAGCUGGUGACGGCCCUGCUGCUCCCAGCAAAUCUGGACGUGCUGCUCUGGCGAGCGGCUUUGAGGGGCUGCCCUUGCCCUGGUGCGUGUUGGAGGACAGAGGUUGUUGGGAGCCUCUGAGCAGGCGGGAUGGAUGGUUUUGGAUGCUGCCCUGAGCCCAGCGUUGGGUAAACGCUUGGUUGUGUCUCUGUCUCCUCGCAGCACGGUGGUGUCACGCUCGUGGGUGCCAGCAGCUGUCGUCUGGCUCUGUGGUGUCCUUAGGGCCAUGCAGAGACGGGACCUGCUCGUGGCGGGCAGGUGGGAUGCCGUGGGGCUUGUUUGUGGCCGUGGCUGGUGACCCCGGGCCCUGUGCUGGUGGGGGUGGGCAGACCCUGGAGCAGGGGGUGGCUGCGGUGGGCCCUGGAGGCAACGUUUCCCCGAGCGACUGGAGCAGACCUUGAGGGGGGCCCUGAUCCAAGCGGGGCGCUGGGCCUGGUGAGGGCCUUCGCGUGCAGUAACGUGGCCUCUGUGAUGGCUCCCUGCCCGUGUCGAGGGGCUCCUGCAGCGCGUAGCUGCUUGUACGGCUGCGUUAUUCUAGCUGUUAAUGCAGUUGUCCUUUGCAGCCCAGCCAGCUCUGCGCAAGGAACGUCUCGGGAACGCUUCGUGGUCAGCUGCUAUCGGAUCGCCCCAAGGAGCUCGGGAUUAUUCGUGGACCUGUGUCAUGACGGCUGCGUGUGUUCCCUGCCCUGCGGAAGUGAAGACGUCCCGGUGCCGAAUCUCUGGGGAUCCCGGAGCUGGUGGUGCUCCUCCGGAGCGCACACGGAGAGGUUCCCCGAAGCUCUGCUCCCACUCUUGCCAGUGCGGGACAGCUUAUCCGGCCAGCAGCGACCAGCAGCGCUUGUGGUCAGAGCGAGGUCCUGACGACUGGAUGGUGACAGUGCAGAACAGAGACACAACAAGGGGCCCGGAGUGACAGCAGACGCCGUGCGAGGUGGAAACCCCGGAUGUGAGGUAGGGGGUGAUGAGAGCUGGGGCACAGGCUUGGUCCUGGAGACCCCGUGGUUAUAGAGGACUCCUCACUGGGCAGGUGACAAGACGCAGCCCUGGAGCUGAGCAAAAGUGAUGCUCCAGGCAGAGAUGGAGACUGAAGACCAAUUUUCUAAUCAGGAGGAAAAUGCAGUGUGCAGCAUAGGAAAUUAAGUGCUGUGCCCUCGUGCUCUCUGGGAGUCCCCAGGGCUGCAUUCAUCAGUGGGAGACGCACCCCCCCGCCUUGUCCCUCCUGGAGCUCGUUGGCCACCCGGCUGCCCCAGUGUUGGUGUGGGGCAGGUGUCUGCCACCGAGGGGCUGAAGGUCCUUAGUGCUUGUGACUGGUUGUGGGUCUCAGUAAUGAGUCCUGCCCUGGCCCUGCGCUCCUUGGGUGGGCACUUAGUGGGAGCUGUGGGGCAAUGGGCGUUGCUGUGGGUUGCCUUGCAGGAGGAGCUGCAGGGAGCCCUGUCACCACUGCCACCAGCCUGAGAUGGGGCUUGGAGCCACCCUGGAGCUCCAGUGUCUGGGGGGUCCCCCCGGAUGGGCUGCUCACCACCCCACCUGCAGCUCCUCA